rnacentral:rRNA from 1 species
AUGAACGCUGACAGAAUGCUUAACACAUGCAAGUCUACUUGAAUUUGGGUUUUUUAACUUAGAUUUGGGUGGCGGACGGGUGAGUAACGCGUAAAGAACUUGCCUCACAGUUAGGGACAACAUUUGGAAACGAAUGCUAAUACCUGAUAUUAUGAAUAUAUGGCAUCAUAUAAUUAUGAAAGCUAUAAGCGCUGUGAGAGAGCUUUGCGUCCCAUUAGCUAGUUGGAGAGGUAACGGCUCACCAAGGCGAUGAUGGGUAGCCGGCCUGAGAGGGUGAACGGCCACAAGGGGACUGAGACACGGCCCUUACUCCUACGGGAGGCAGCAGUGGGGAAUAUUGGACAAUGGACCAAGAGUCUGAUCCAGCAAUUCUGUGUGCACGAUGACGUUUUUCGGAAUGUAAAGUGCUUUCAGUUGGGAAGAAAAAAAUGACGGUACCAACAGAAGAAGUGACGGCUAAAUACGUG